GCCUCUAGAUACACAUACAUUAGAGGUACUGCCUGCCCAGUGAUUAUUUAACGGCCGCGGUAUUCUGACCGUGCAAAGGUAGCAUAAUAACUUGUCAUUUAAUUAAUGACUAGAAUGAAUGGCAAAACGAAAACUUAACUGUCUCUCUUAUUCAAUCAAUGAAACUGAUCCUCUUGUACAAAAGCAAGAAUAUUAAUACAAGACGAGAAGACCCUAUGGAGCUUUAAACCCAUUAUCAACUGCAAUAUUAACAAUAACAAUUUGAUAAUUGUUUUAGGUUGGGGCGACCACGGAGAAUAAAAAUCCUCCGAGAAAAACAACUUAAAUAACACAUCAAAGUACUAAAACNAUUUAAAUAAUUGACCCAAUAAACUUGAUCAACGAACCAAGUUACCCUAGGGAUAACAGCGCAAUCUUCUCUAAGAGUCCUUAUCUACGAGAAGGUUUACGACCUCGAUGUUGGAUCAGGAUAUCCAAACAGUGCAGCCGCUGUAAAAGGUUUGUUUGUUCAACAAAUAAUAUCCU
rnacentral:rRNA from 1 species